AAAGGCCAUGUGAGGACACAGUGAGAAGAUGGACAUCUGCAAGCCGGGAAGAGAGGCCUCACCAGAAACAGAGUAUGCUGGCACCAGAAUCUUGGACUUGGCCGGUCUCCAAAACAAGUCCUUGGGGAGUCCUGGUUCUGCAUCCUAGUCCAGACAAUUAUGCUGAAGGAUACUCCUGUGUGUGGAGAAGUUAAAUCUAAUGUGGCAAGAGUUUGGAGACUAGGGGCGGAGAUAUCCUCAAGGAGUUCCAUUGGAAUGCUUUGACCCAGAGGGUGCUGGGAGUAUGUAAUGUCUGGUUUUGAGUUUUUCUCUUCUUUUUGAUAUGGUAAUUCUAUAUUAUAAUAUCACAAAGGUUUAAGUAAAAUUUAGCUUUAUGUUACAUUACAUUUUGGGGUUCCUUGUUCUUUGUGGAAUUAAGGAAGAGGCUUGUAUUAGGAUGACCAACUUCUCCUGGUUUGCCUGGGAUUUCCCACUUUUGAACUGAAAAAUAUAAUAUUUCAGGAAAUCGCUCAGACCUGGACAAAUCAAAAUGGUAGGCUACUUUGGCUGGAGUGUACACUUAGGAUUAAUUUGUUGGGAGAGAAGGGUAACAACCUGGACACGGCUAGUUUCAGGUCAGUUAGUGGCAAGCUUCAGAAGAUGUGUACUGUGUCUUUCUUACUGGAAUUUGCAGCUCAGAUAUUAAGCAAAUGUUAAGAAAAAUUAUCAAAACCUUGGAAACAGGCAAAUAAGAUUAUCGGAUAUUCUUUCAGUUUUGUGCUGGGUACUGUCCAGCAGAGGCUACAUGGCAUUAUCUGAUUCUCUAGGGGUUAGUACUUUUCUUUGACUUUCUAUUUAGAAAUGAACAGAAUUUUUUUUGUCUCUGUAAAGGUAGACACUAACGUAUGAAAACUGAUACAAAUGACUCUUUUCUGAUAGUAAUAGAAAUGAAUUUUAUUCAAGAGAUGCAAGUGAUUUCCUGUAAAAAGAGAUGACUCCUGAAAGUUACAGUUUUAAUGCCUGAUAAGAUAUUAACCAAUUAAUAUUAGCAUUAGCCAAUUUAAAUUAGAAUUCUUACUCAACUCUUCUGUCUUUAAGCCACUAUAAAUACUUUGCUUUCCCCAAUUACUUUGGAACCAGCCUCAUGAUCUUGCUGAUACCCUCAUUAAUGUGAUAAAUAAAUAUUUGACCCUACUGAUUUUUUGUAUGGGUGGUGAUUGUAUCAUUUUAAAAAAUCAUAGGUUCACAUUAGGGAUUUAUAAAAUACGUUAAUAUCCUUCAGAAACAUCCAAGAAAUUCAUGGAGAAAGUGAAACUGGUAAAGCUCUGGGUUUCCUCCAUCCAAGCAGGAUGCAGACUUGGAUUACUUGUAUUGCAGACUAGUGAUGUACAUAGCCUUUAUAUAAUGGGCCACUACAUGGUAGGGAGUGGGG
rnacentral:lncRNA from 10 species